rnacentral:rRNA from 1 species
GCACGGGUGAGUAACGCGUGGGAAUCUACCCAGCAGUACGGAAUAACUCCGGGAAACCGGGGCUAAUACCGUAUACGCCCUUCGGGGGAAAGAUUUAUCGCUGUUGGAUGAGCCCGCGUCGGAUUAGCUUGUUGGUGAGGUAACGGCUCACCAAGGCUGCGAUCCGUAGCUGGUCUGAGAGGAUGAUCAGCCACACUGGGACUGAGACACGGCCCAGACUCCUACGGGAGGCAGCAGUGGGGAAUAUUGGACAAUGGGCGCAAGCCUGAUCCAGCCAUGCCGCGUGAGUGAAGAAGGCCCUAGGGUUGUAAAGCUCUUUCAGCGGGGAAGAUAAUGACGGUACCCGCAGAAGAAGCCCCGGCCAACUCCGUGCCAGCAGCCGCGGUAAGACGGAGGGGGCUAGCGUUGUUCGGAAUUACUGGGCGUAAAGCGCGCGUAGGCGGCAUUUCAAGUUGGGUGUGAAAGCCCGGGGCUCAACCCCGGAACUGCACUCAAAACUGGAAAGCUAGAGUCCGGGAGAGGUGAGUGGAACUCCCGGUGUAGAGGUGAAAUUCGUAUAUAUUGGGAAGAACACCAGUGGCGAAGGCGGCCACCUGGACG